AGAGUUUGAUCCUGGCUCAGAAGGAACGCUGGCAGCGUGCAUAACACAUGCAAGUCGAACGAUGAAGCAUUCUUCGGAAUGUGGAAGAGUGGCGAACGGGUGAGGAACACGUAAGAAUCUGCCCCUCGGUCGGGGACAACUCUUGGAAACGAGAGCUAAUACCCGAUACGCUGUGGAGUGAAAGAAUUUCGCCGAGGGAUGAUCUUGCGUCUGAUUAGCUAGUUGGUGUGGUAAAGGCAUACCAAGGCGACGAUCAGUAGCUGGUCUGAGAGGAUGAACAGCCACAUUGGAACUGAGACACGGUCCAAACUCCUACGGGAGGCAGCAGUGGGGAAUUUUCCGCANUGGACGAAAGUCUGACGGAGCGACGCUGCGUGAAGGAUGACGGNCCGCGGGUUGUAAACUUCUUUUC
rnacentral:rRNA from 1 species